GAUGAACGCUGGCGGCGUGCCUAAUACAUGCAAGUCGAGCGAACAGACGAGGAGCUUGCUCCUCUGACGUUAUCGGCGGACGGGUGAGUAACACGUGGAUAACCUACCUAUAAGACUGGGAUAACUUCGGGAAACCGGAGCUAAUACCGGAUAAUAUAUUGAACCGCAUGGUUCAAUAGUGAAAGACGGUUUUGCUGUCACUUAUAGAUUGAUCCGCGCCGCAUUAGCUAGUUGGUAAGGUAACGGCUUACCAAGGCAACGAUGCGUAGCCGACCUGAGAGGGUGAUCGGCCACACUGGAACUGGGGCACGGUCCAGACUCCUACGGGAGGCAGCAGUAGGGAAUCUUCCGCGAUGGGCGAAAGCGUGACGGAGCAACGCCGCGUGAGUGAUGAAGGUCUUCGGAUCGUAAAACUCUGUUAUUAGGGAAGAACAAAUGUGUAAGUAACUAUGCACGUUUUGACGGUACCUAAUCAGAUAGCCACGGCUAACUACGUG
rnacentral:rRNA from 1 species